rnacentral:misc_RNA from 1 species
UAUAAUUGUGUUUCAUUUAAAAUAAAAGAUUGUCAUGUUGUUUAAACGCUAAGUUAAUGCCUAGUUUAUGUUUCUAGGGCAACAUUCUUAUUCUAAAAGUGAUAGCGAACUAGUUCCACGUCAUGCUGUUGUAGCAGCUGAUGUUCAUCAAACGAACAACGGUGAACCUUCCAGACAUCGAUCAGAUUGUGAUACGUUUUUGUCGGCCACUCGCUGUUUCAUUAGAUUCCAAAUGUACUCGAUUGGAUUCAAAUCACAUUGAUACGGCGGUAGCCGUAAUACUUCGUGACCUUGACUUUUAAUUAAUUCAUCUAUUUCAUAUUUUUUAGGUGGCGCGUUCCGUUUUAUUAGACAGUACAGCUCAGGAUUCGUAAAAUUUUCUUCGAAGUCAAUGUUCCUUUCGCGUAACCAAUUUUUCAUGGUUUCCUUUAAGGAAUUUGAAUUUGGUAGUCUGUCAAUCUGCUUACAAUGGUAUGGUGCAUUGUCGAGAACAAUAAUGGAAUUAGGCGGCAGAUUUGGCAAGAGUUUCUCCUUUAACCACUUGGUGAAAUUUUUAUUAUUCAUUUCAUCGUGGUAAUCUCCACUUUUACCUUUGCAUUUAUAUAAUACCUCUGCGUUUUGGAUAACACCAUUGUCUUGUCAUUGUCAGGCUGAAAAGGAGGAUG